AAUACAGAUGUCCUGUAAAAUCUGAAAUUCAGAUAAGCAACAAACAGUUUUUUUUUAGUAUAAGUAUGUUUCAUGCAGUAUUUGGGACAUAUUUAUACUAAAAAAGUAUUUGUUAUUUAUCUAAAAUUCAAAUUAAAUUGGGCUUCCUAUAGUUU
rnacentral:miRNA from 1 species